GGGAAGAUAGCUCAGUGGUAGAGAGCAUUUGCCUAGCCAAGUGUAAAGCCCUGAGUUCUAAUCCCAGUACUGCCA
rnacentral:tRNA from 1 species